UCCGUAGGUGAACCUGCGGAAGGAUCAUUAG
rnacentral:rRNA from 3 species